CCUUGCCUUUUUGAGUACCUUUUCGUUUCCUCGGCAGGCUCGCCUGCCAAUGGGGACCCCAAAAAACACUUUGCAGUACCUGUAAACAGUCUGAACAAACUUUAAAAAUUAAAACUUUCAACAACGGAUCUCUUGGUUCUGGCAUCGAUGAAGAACGCAGCGAAAUGCGAUAAGUAGUGUGAAUUGCAGAAUUCAGUGAAUCAUCGAAUCUUUGAACGCACAUUGCGCCCUUUGGUAUUCCUUAGGGCAUGCCUGUUCGAGCGUCAUUUAAACCUUCAAGCUCAGCUUGGUGUUGGGUGACUGUCCGCUUGCGGACUCGCCUCGAAAUGAUUGGCGGCCGGUACUUUUGGCUUCGAGCGCAGCAGAAACGCGAACUCGAGGCCUGUGUGCUGGCUCCCAGAAGCUAUCUUCACAAUU
rnacentral:sRNA from 1 species